rnacentral:misc_RNA from 1 species
GUUUUAUGGCAAGGCUGAGGCAGAGAGAGAGUCGCCAUGAGUCAUCAUCCUCCGCUUCACGUAUUACUGUUUUUUAUUGGGGACGAUCAUGAGGCUUUGAGCAUGGCAGAGUUAGCAAGGGGGCAUUAAGAUGCUUCAAAAGCAAAGGCUCAGGGCGCGACCAUUGAAUACAUAGAAAAGCUGGAGAAGGUGACAAUAGAAGGAUCGGCAAUGGUGUAUGCGGUUUGCUUGGAUGAAAUGUCGAUAGGGUCAGAAGCUAGGCGGUUGCCA